ensembl:snRNA U1 U1 spliceosomal RNA
AUACUUAGCUGGAAGGGGAGAUAUCACAAUCUCCAGAGUGGUUUUUCNNNNNNAAAGUUUAUUCAGUGCAUUACAAAUGUGAUGACCUCUAUGAUUUCUCCAAAGGUGCAAAACUUGAUUGCAUUAUUUGUGAUGGUGGGGAGGGGGGCAUUCGUGCUUUUCAUUG